rfam:Neotoma lepida isolate 417 scaffold_2536, whole genome shotgun sequence.
GGAGAGAUGGCUUAGUGGUUAAGAGCACUGACUACUCUUCCACAAAACCUGGGUUCAACUCCCAGCAUCCCCA